rnacentral:tRNA from 1 species
GGCGAUUUAGCUUAAUGGUUUAGAGUACCGCAACGCGUAAUCAUGGAGGUAUGAGUUCGAGUCUCAUAGCCA